rnacentral:rRNA from 1 species
AGAGUUUGAUCCUGGCUCAGGACGAACGCUGGCGGCGUGCCUAACACAUGCAAGUCGAGCGGAGAAAGAUGAAGAUUUAUCUAAGUCUUUCUUAGCGGCGGACGGGUGAGUAACGCGUGGGCAACCUGGCCUAUAGAGGGGGAUAACACUAAGAAAUUGGUGCUAAUACCGCAUAACAUUAUCUGAUAGCAUUAUUGGAUAAUCAAAGGAGAAAUCCGCUAUAGGAUGGGCCCGCGUCUGAUUAGCUAGUUGGUGAGGUAACGGCUCACCAAGGCGACGAUCAGUAGCCGACCUGAGAGGGUGAUCGGCCACACUGGAACUGAGACACGGUCCAGACUCCUACGGGAGGCAGCAGUGGGGAAUAUUGCGCAAUGGGGGAAACCCUGACGCAGCAACGCCGCGUGGAGGAAGAAGGUCUUCGGAUUGUAAACUCCUGUCAUUGGGGACGAAUAAUGACGGUACCCAAGGAGGAAGCCACGGCUAACUACGUGCCAGCAGCCGCGGUAAUACGUAGGUGGCUAGCGUUGUCCGGAAUUAUUGGGCGUAAAGGGCGCGUAGGCGGCCUGAUAAGUCAGAUGUGAAAACCCGAGGCUCAACUUCGGGAGUGCAUUUGAAACUGUCGGGCUAGAGUGCAGGAGAGGUAAGUGGAAUUCCUAGUGUAGCGGUGAAAUGCGUAGAUAUUAGGAGGAACACCAGUGGCGAAGGCGACUUACUGGACUGUAACUGACGCUGAGGCGCGAAAGCGUGGGGAGCAAACGGGAUUAGAUACCCUGGUAGUCCAA